UCCCUGGUGGUCCAGUGGUUAGGAUUCUCCACUUUCACUGCCAAGGACCCAGGUUCAAUUCCCAGUCAGGGAA
rnacentral:tRNA from 1 species